CAAAUUUAACCAAACUUGGCCACAAUCAUCAUUGGGGUAUCUGGUUUAAAAAUGUGUGGCUUGACCUGGCCAACCAACCAAGAUGGCCACCAUGGCUAAAAAUAGUACAUAGGGGUGACAUGUAGAUUUUGGCUUAUAUCUCUGAAACCAAAGCAUUUAGAGCAAAUCUGACAGAGUAAGCUUGUUUAUCAGAUCAAGAUCUAUCUGCCCUGAAAUUUUCAGACAAAUCAGACAACCUCUUGUUGGGUUUCUGCCCCCAAAAUAGUAAUUUUAAAUAAAAUUUUGCAGUUUUUGGUUAUUAUCUUGAAUAUUAUUAUAGAUAGAGAUGAACUGUAAACAGCAAUAAUGUUCAGCAAAGAAAGGUGUACAAUUAAGUCAACAUAAUCAAAAUUUUCAAAUGACCCUUUAAGGAGUUAUCGCCCUUUAUAGUCAAUUUUUAACAAUUUUCAUAAAUUUUUGUAAAUUUUUGUAAAUUUUUAGAAAAUAUUUUCCACUGUAAUUACUGGGCAAGGUUCAUUAUAGAUACAGAUAAUUGUAGCAACAAGAAUGUUCAGUAAAGUAAGAUCUACAAACACAUCAC
rnacentral:lncRNA from 1 species